ACAACAGUCCUUCUCAGGACUACAGAAUGGUUUACUGAAAAGAUAU
rfam:Anopheles minimus strain MINIMTS1 unplaced genomic scaffold supercont1.26, whole genome shotgun sequence.